rnacentral:lncRNA from 1 species
GCAGGUCUCCUGGUAGUCCGGGAGGAGGCGUUUGCCGCUCGUAAGGGGUCAGGGUGGGGUUCUUUUUUCGCUUAUUUGGUUAUUUUUUGUUUGUUUUUGAGAGGAGGCAUCUCUACUGAGCGAGCAGGUGAACAGGUUGCGGUGGGGUUACAGACAGCUGACGAGCCAGGGCUUUCCUGGGAUGAGCCUUGGUGCUGCCGGAGUUUGUUACCCUGGGUGCCCCCUGUGUGUUUCCCUGACUGGCCGCGCAGGGCGUGCGAGCAGUUUGUCUGGAGGCAAGUACUGGUUUGCAAGAAGGAAUUACAUGGACUUGCAAGACCUCAGGAUAAGCAAAGGCAUAUUUUUGGAGCUCUGCACAUUGGUUGCUUCAGGGCUGCUGGAUAUUAGUGGACUACUUUUCAUCCGUUCAGCAUAUGGCCAUUCCCUUCUGGAGACUUACAGCCCUUGGAUUAAUUCUACUGAUCUGAAGUUUUCCUGACCUUGUGGAGAGCUACUAAUCUGUGCUCUUUUUCCAAGAGUGUUGGAGCACUUGUGCAGCUCAUGACAGGCAGAAAGAGAACAUGGCAUUGGCUCUACUCUGAUUUGGUGGAAANNNNNNNNNNNNNNNNNNNNNNNNNUUUGCAAAACGUAAGUAUACAAAGCAUAGUCUUUAAUCCCAGUUGUGACUCAGUGCGAUCCAGUUUAUUGAUGAUACGAGUUGAUAUUGCUACAACACAAGAUAUAUCUCCACAAGCCAAAGAAGCUUAAAGAUUUUAUACGAUGAUAACUAGGAAAUCUUCUAGUUUAAUCUGCUUUAAUGUAAUCAUAAAAUAAUGACAGGGAGUAUGUGUGUAUUGAAUUUUGUUACUGUUAAAUUGAUGGAAGUGCAGCCUGAAUGCAGUCUCUGUAUAUCCUGAAAGAAGAAAAUAAGGUAUAGCAAAAACUGCUACUGCAAAGAAGCAAAUUGUGAUGGCUAGCCUGGAGAAAAUGUUAUAAGAGCUGCAUAAUAUGAGGAACAGAGAAACAAUAAAAGAAUGCAUAAAGGCA